AGACAGAUGCAGAUACCCACAUCCAAGCACUUGAGGUGGUCAGGGACACUUUUAUGCAAGAGUUGGGGGAAGGACUGAAGGUCCUGAAAGGGAUGGUAACCCCACAGGAAGACCAACAGUCUCAACUAACCUGGUCUCCCUGAGAGCUCCCCGAAACUAAGCCACCAACCAAAGGACAUACAGGAGUGAAUUGGAGUCACCGGGCACAUAUAUAGUGGAAGUCUACCUUGUCUUGCCUCAGUGGGAGAGGAUGUGCCUAAAUCCUCCUUGAUUUGGAGGGUAUACAGGGUGGGCAGGGUAGACACCCUCUCAGAGAUGAAGGGGUAGAGGGAUAUGGAGACAAACUCUGCAAGGGGGGAAUGAGAGUGGGGCAGCAUUUCAGAUGCAAAUAAAAUCGUUUUUAAAAAUUAUCUUAUUUAGUUACAUCCUCAAAACUGCCCCCUCCCAGUCUCCCCCUUAAAGAGUCCCUCUCCCAUAACUCCCUCCCCUUUUUCUCUGAGAGGGUGGUACCCCCUCCCACCAGGCACAUCAAGUCUCUGCAGGGAUAUACACAUCUUCUCCCACUGAGACCAGAUAAGACUCUGUUGUCUGCUACAAAUGUGCUGGAGCCUCGCUCCAGCCCAUGUAUGCUCUUUGGGGGUUCAGUCUCUGAGAGCUCCCAGGUGUCCUUUCUUUCUAAUGCAUCUGUUUUGUGCAGAUGAUCGUCUAUGGAAUAAAGUAGUGUACUAAUAUUAUUCAU
rnacentral:lncRNA from 1 species